UACGUAGGGGGCAAGCGUUGUCCGGAAUCAUUGGGCGUAAAGAGCGUGUAGGCGGCCAGCUAAGUCCGCUGUGAAAUCUCGAGGCUCAACUUCGAGCUGUCGGUGGAGACUGUCUGGCUAGAGUCCGGAAGAGGAGAAUGGAAUUCCUGGUGUAGCGGUGAAAUGCGCAGAUAUCAGGAAGAACACCCGUGGCGAAGGCGGUUCUCUGGGACGGUACUGACGCUGAGACGCGAAAGCGUGGGGAGCGAACAGG
rnacentral:rRNA from 1 species